GAUGAACGCUGGCGGCGUGCCUAAUACAUGCAAGUCGAGCGAACGGACGAGAAGCUUGCUUCUCUGAUGUUAGCGGCGGACGGGUGAGUAACACGUGGAUAACCUACCUAUAAGACUGGGAUAACUUCGGGAAACCGGAGCUAAUACCGGAUAAUAUUUUGAACCGCAUGGUUCAAAAGUAAAAGACGGUCUUGCUGUCACUUAUAGAUGGAUCCGCGCUGCAUUAGCUAGUUGGUAAGGUAACGGCUUACCAAGGCAACGAUGCAUAGCCGACCUGAGAGGGUGAUCGGCCACACUGGAACUGAGACACGGUCCAGACUCCUACGGGAGGCAGCAGUAGGGAAUCUUCCGCAAUGGGCGAAAGCCUGACGGAGCAACGCCGCGUGAGUGAUGAAGGUCUUCGGACCGUAAAACUCUGUUAUUAGGGAAGAACAUAUGUGUAAGUAACUGUGCACAUCUUGACGGUACCUAAUCAGAAAGCCACGGCUAACUACGUG
rnacentral:rRNA from 1 species